rnacentral:rRNA from 1 species
AGACCCGAAACCCGGUGAUCUAGCCAUGGGCAGGUUGAAGGUUGGGUAACACUAACUGGAGGACCGAACCGACUAAUGUUGAAAAAUUAGCGGAUGACCUGUGGCUGGGGGUGAAAGGCCAAUCAAACCGGGAGAUAGCUGGUUCUCCCCGAAAGCUAUUUAGGUAGCGCCUCGUGAAUUCAUCUCCGGGGGUAGAGCACUGUUUCGGCUAGGGGGCCAUCCCGGCUUACCAACCCGAUGCAAACUGCGAAUACCGGAGAAUGUUAUCACGGGAGACACACGGCGGGUGCUAACGUCCGUCGUGAAGAGGGAAACAACCCAGACCGCCAGCUAAGGUCCCAAAGUCAUGGUUAAGUGGGAAACGAUGUGGGAAGGCCCAGACAGCCAGGAUGUUGGCUUAGAAGCAGCCAUCAUUUAAAGAAAGCGUAAUAGCUCACUGGUCGAGUCGGCCUGCGCGGAAGAUGUAACGGGGCUAAACCAUGCACCGAAGCUGCGGCAGCGAACGUAUCACCCAAGACAACUUUACGGAGUUGACGAUUGACGGAGCGAAGCGACGUCAAAGCGUUCAUUAAAGUCGAGUUGGCUUAGGGAUACGUUCGUUGGGUAGGGGAGCGUUCUGUAAGCCUGUGAAGGUGUGUCGUGAGGCAUGCUGGAGGUAUCAGAAGUGCGAAUGCUGACAUAAGUAACGAUAAAGCGGGUGAAAAGCCCGCUCGCCGGAAGACCAAGGGUUCCUGUCCAACGUUAAUCGGGGCAGGGUGAGUCGACCCCUAAGGCGAGGCCGAAAGGCGUAGUCGAUGGGAAACGGGUUAAUAUUCCCGUACUUGGUGUUACUGCGAAGGGGGGACGGAGAAGGCUAUGUUGGCCGGGCGACGGUUGUCCCGGUUUAAGCGUGUAGGUGUGUGUUCCAGGUAAAUCCGGUUCACUUUAACACUGAGGCGUGACGACGAGGCACUACGGUGCUGAAGCAACAAAUGCCCUGCUUCCAGGAAAAGCCUCUAAGCAUCAGGUAACACGAAAUCGUACCCCAAACCGACACAGGUGGUCAGGUAGAGAAUACCAAGGCGCUUGAGAGAACUCGGGUGAAGGAACUAGGCAAAAUGGUGCC